rnacentral:rRNA from 1 species
AAGCUCGUAGUUGAAUUUCGGGAUUAGUACGUCGGUCGUGCCUUAGGUACGUACUGGUGUUACUGGUUCCUACCUUCUGACGAACCAUCAUGUCAUUAAUUUGGUGUGGUGGGGAAUCAGGACUGUUACUUUAGAAAAAAUUAGAGUGUUUAAAGCAGGCUCGCGCUUGAAUACAUUAGCAUGGAAUAAUGAAAUAGGACGUUGAUCCUAUUUUGUUGGUUUCUAGGAUUGACGUAAUGAUUAAUAGGGAUAGUUGGG